rnacentral:rRNA from 1 species
GCUCAACCGAGGAAGUGCUUCGAAAACUGGUAAACUUGAGUGCAGAAGAGGAAAGUGGAACUCCAUGUGUAGCGGUGGAAUGCGUAGAUAUAUGGAAGGACACCAGUGGCGAAGGCGGCUUUCUGGUCUGUAACUGACGCUGAGAUUCGAAAGCAUGGGUAGCAAACAGGAUUAGAUGCCCUGGUAGUCCUUGCCGUAAACGAUGAGUGCUAAGUGUUGGAGGGUUUCCGCCCUUCAGUGCUGCAGCUAACGCAUUAAGCACUCCGCCUGGGGAGUACGAUCGCAAGGUUGAAACUCAAAGGAAUUGACGGGGGCCCGCACAAGCGGUGGAGCAUGUGGUUUAAUUCGAAGCAACGCGAAGAACCUUACCAGGUCUUGACAUACCAUGAAAAGCUUAGAGAUAAGUCUUUCCCUUCGGGGACAUGGAUACAGGUGGUGCAUGGUUGUCGUCAGCUCGUGUCGUGAGAUGUUGGGUUAAGUCCCGCAACGAGCGCAACCCUUAUUAUCAGUUGCCAGCAUUCAGUUGGGCACUCUGGUGAGACUGCCGGUGACAAACCGGAGGAAGGUGGGGAUGACGUCAAAUCAUCAUGCCCCUUAUGACCUGGGCUACACACGUGCUACAAUGGAUGGUACAACG